UAAAGAUUCAAACUGGGAAAAAUUACAAUUACCACGCAUGCUAAUUAGAUGUGAAAGAAGGGCUCUAACUGAAAUUAAGAUCUCCAAUGGUCCAAUUCACCAUUAAAGGUUCCAUUAAUUAUGCUCCUUCCAAACCCAGCAACUAAUACUUGAUACAAAAAUGAUGGUA